UACGAAGGGGGCUAGCGUUGCUCGGAAUUACUGGGCGUAAAGCGCACGUAGGCGGAUUGUUAAGUCGGGGGUGAAAUCCUGGAGCUCAACUCCAGAACUGCCUUCGAAACUGGCGAUCUCGAGUUCGGGAGAGGUGAGUGGAACUGCGAGUGUAGAGGUGAAAUUCGUAGAUAUUCGCAAGAACACCAGUGGCGAAGGCGGCUCACUGGCCCGAUACUGACGCUGAGGUGCGAAAGCGUGGGGAGCAAACAGGGAU
rnacentral:rRNA from 1 species